rnacentral:lncRNA from 1 species
AUUCACUCUGCCCGCAGCAGUGACCUCUGGGCAGGGUGCACAACAGGCCCCGCGGGAGGGUGGGGGGCCGCCUUCCUGGGGAGGGGGCACAGCCAGGCUGCGAGGCCCUCUGUCUGGAAGACCUGCCCUGGGCGACGGAGAGCAGGGCUGCCAGCCAUGCCUUGGGCCCAGGCCCCUGCUUCGCCUUUAGCCCCCAGGCCACAGGUGAGGCCUCUCCCCUAGAGAAGGCCCGGGGCCUGGCCAGGUGUUUCUGGAAACAGACUUCAGCGGGGCCCCAUUUGGUCACUUCUCUGGGCUGUGUGCAGCCUCGGGCAAGGGGACAGAGAACGAACGAACCCGCCCCUAGGAGGGCCUGGGACAUCUCUGGGCCUCCCUUCUUUGAGGCUGGGGAAAGCGAGGCCUCGAGGUCCGGAGCCCCUUGCCGAGCGAGCAUCCGCGCGAACCGGGGGCCCUUCCUCGCGGGCUGAAGAGGACCGGACCGUCCUCCAAGCCGGUCUCACUCCCCCAGGGAAGCCUAACGUCCACGCAACUGGGCACGCGCGCACAGCUUCGGGGUCUGCAUCCUACAGGAGCUGUGCGCUUGGGCCCUGGCUGGGGACGGGGACACACGCACACAGCCCCUUCGAAGCGGAAUGCCGAAUCCUGCACAGCUCGCUGGAUCUUGCCAGUCACCGGCCCAUCCCUCCUUUGGGGGUUCUGAGGUCCGCAGAGCUCCCCUGUGACUUUCCACAGAAAUCUUCACUGACACAAAAAUAGACUGCUCAGACAUUUAGAUGCAGAGAUCUCACGCUCCUUCUAAAUUGAGGCGAUCGUCCUAAUAUAGCGUGAGCUGCCUGGUGGUGAAGAGGAUGGGAGGGAGGAAGUGGGGCAGGGGACAGGAGGCCCGGCUCCGAUGUCAACAAUGACUUCGCGGCCUGGGCCUUGGGGUCUCGGGCCUGGCGGCUGGGCUGCUCCUCACGCGACCAGUCAAAAGCUACUCCCGGGUAAGGGUUGCCCCUUCAGAAACGUGGCUGGAGUCACAGACCAUCAAAGAUCUGAAAGCCAUCAAACCCCACCAGCCCCUCCAUCCCCAUUUGACAAAAUACACCUGCUGAGCCUGAGAGAAUCAGGUCAGUUCAACACGCAUUUUCUGAGCCUUUCCAGAAACAGGGCCCCAACUGAGCGCUCCUUCUCCAACAGCAACAGGGAAGCACGGCCCCUGCCUAGAGCCCGCUGCUUGCUCUAAGCGCAGGCAGGCCCGGGUGAGCGCCCCCAGCUGGUGGGACUCUCUCCAGGCCACUUGGUCCUUUCAAAGACCAUCCAGGGCUCCGGCUCACACUUGGGCAAAGCAAAAUCCUGGCAAAGUGAAGGCCGGGGGGUGCCACGCCCCAAGGCCCCAGCUAACAUCCGGUUGGGGGGAAAUCAGGCAGACUGUACCCAGCAGGCCCGGGGGCCAGGCUGCCCCCCUCAGGCCCACCAGCCCGGCAGGAAUAGGAAUGCACCGGCUGUGUUGGGGCUCCGAUACCUCUCUUGUCUCACAGUCUUGGACAAGAUGCCCUUGAACUGGGGUUAGCAAUUGCUUUUUCGUUUAGUGUCACUUUCCUGCCGUCAGUGGAUUCUAACCACAUAUGCACACGUGGACGAGGACAGCGACACGGGGAGAGAGGAAGCAGGCAAAAGCAGCUCAUCGUUGGGCUAGAUGCGGGUCAGGGCGGUGCCUAUGUGCCUGCAAGCGCUGGCCGCCGAGGCCCCCAGCCUGCCCUGGGCCCCUGCAGGCCUUCUCUCCCCGUUUGCCCCACUGCUUCGGCUUGGAAAAUGUGUGUGCCUUUGGCGGGGUGGGGCAGUGGGGCAGGCACCCCGCAGAAACCGGCUUGGAGCAGCCCAAGGCCUCUCGCGAGAAGGGAGAGGACCAUCAAUUUCGUCUGAGAGAUUUUAGGGGCCCCUCUCUGGCCAAGGGACACUGCGGCCAGGGAUCCAGUUUCUAAUCCCACAGCUCAGGGAGGACAGAAUUUCUCACCACAGAGGAGGGUUCAAGCAAAGACUACACCCCCGUGUGCCAGGCACGCCAGGGCUGGGAGGCCAAAGGCGAGGGGCUGCGGGCCGCCCUCCCUGGGGUGCAGAGGCUGGCUUUCCAUGGAGGUCUGGCCUGGGGCUCCCUGCGGGCACGGUGGCUCUACCGGAUCCAGUCAGAGGGGGUGGCAGGCCCCCAGGCGAGGUGGCCCAGGCCUCCCUUCUCUCCCUUCUGUGCUAAGAACCAGAACAGCCUCCAAAGGGCUCCCCAAGCCCGGCGCGGCCUUGCAGGACACCACAGCCUUGCAGUUGUCAGACUGGUCUGCAGCCUGUGCCCCACCGAUGACAAGAAAGGCAAAUCCAUGGCCCCGUGGGCGGCUCUGCUAAACCACGGGGCAGCCGCCCUUGCUGCCCUACUGACCCCCGUGUCCCACCUCUCCAGCUGGGGCUCCCAUUGUUCUCGUCCCCUGGGGAUACUCUCUGCCAGGUGGAACGUCACUUUGUCGCUUGCUUUGUCACUUUCGUUGCAGUUACAGUGCGUCCUGGCCUCAGUGCUCUCUUCACAAGGAAUUUAUAUCAUUAGGGGCCACAAGAAAAAUUUCUUCUUUCAUCCUCUCUGGCCAAGACGCACUGUCUUUUCAGGGCCGCGCCCGCGGCAUAUGGAGGUUCCCAGGCUAGGGGGUCAAAUCGGAGCUACAGCCGCCGGCUUCCAGUACGCCUCGGUGGCCGGCCUGAACCAGGCAAGAGACGCCUUCCUUCUCUGACUUCCUCCUCCUUGACUUGGACUUCAGGUAUGGCUCAGGGGGCUGCAUAAUGCUCCCCACCCCCAGCCCAAUGUCCCCAGCCUAUAUAGUGAAGGGAAUGGGCAGACGUGAUUGAGUAAAGGAUGGGAAAAGAUGGAGCGUGAUCCCGGAUGUUGGCCGGGCCGGGUGUAACAUCACAAGCGUCCUGAGACGAUGAAAGGGGCAGGCGGACGUGUCCGAGGAGGAGACGUGAUGGAGGAAGCAGAAGGCAGCAGGUGCCUUGCUGGCCCUGAAGGUGGAGGAGGGGGCCACAGCCCAUGAAGGCAGUGGCUUCUAGAAGCUGGAAAUGGCCUGGAAACUACACUCGCCUCGGGCUUUUAGCAGGAGCACAAGCCCACCCCCACCUUGACCUUUGCGCAGGGCAGCUCUGGGCGGACGUCUGACCUCUGAAGCUCUAAGGUUUAAAUGUACGCUGGCAAGGAGCUACAGCAGCAACAGGAAACAGACACAGUGGCUAAUGGUGUUUAAACCGAGCCAACCCACGGCCACCAGCCGUCACUGGUUGAAGCACUGGGCUAUAGGGACAGGGUGGGCAGGCAACCCUGAGCUCAGAUCCCAACCUGUCCACCUCCUGGGAAUGGGGCCUCGCGUGAAGUCACUUCACUCCUCUGAGGCUCAGUUUCCUCAUCUGUAAAAUGGCAAAAUAAAAUCACGAGUUUCAGGUAUCUGGUGUAGUUAAUAGUAUUGUACCAACUUUGAUCAUAUGCCUUUGAUAACUGUACUAAGGCUACAUAAGAUGCCAAGACUAGGGCAGCGGGGCAGAGGGCGUAGGGACUAUACCACUGGGUAGUCUCCGGACUCCUUCUGCAACUUCUCUAAAAUCAUGUCCAAUUUGAAUGUAACUACUUAUUUGAAUUAAAAUCAUUAUUAUUUUUUGUCUUUUUUUGUCUUUUCAGGGCCGCGCCCGCGGCAUAUGGAGGUUCCCAGGCUAGGGGGCCCCACCUGAGCUGGCCCUGCCCUGUCACCGCCCCAAGCCUCGAGUCCAGGCCCACUCCCCUUGCUGUUCUCCACCCUCCCAGACACACUGGACCCUCCCCAGCCUCCCCAAACACAGUCACACGGGGCAGGCGCCCUCCAGCGUCGCCCUCCUCGGGCCGAGUGAACCGGCCCUGCUCGGGGACCGUCCCGCCCCAGCACGCAGCACGCCAGACUACAAUUAUUUCAAGGCCUGCCUCCCCAGAGCUGGUGGGCUCCUCCAGGACAGAGGCCAAGCCUCCGGCCCCCAGCUCCGGGCAGAGCAGGGCUGGGGGGCUGGAAAUGGUGUGGAAAUGCACGGACAGCACAGAAGCCCAGAGGAGGGUUCUCUCUGGGGCCACCUUUCAUUCGUCACAUUAAUAGGCAGGGAUUCAGAUUUCUCCCGUGGCAUGACUAACGUAGGGGAUUUUCAGUGUUGAUUACUAAAACAGCCCCCGCAAUGGAUGGGUGGAUGACAUCAUGCUGGGCUCUGGGACGUCUGCUGCUCUGGGGGUGGGGGUAGGUUGGGGGAGCGACACUGUCAUUGGCUAUUUGGACUCUGGGGAGGAAAGGGUCCUUGGCAAAAGGCCAGCCUGCACGGACCCACCUGCCGGGGUCCCAGAGGCUGCAGGCCCCGCUGGCAAGGAGGGAGUACCUCCCCUGCCAUCCGCCCCAGUCCUGGGGCCUCUGGGGGCGAAAGGGUGGCCUCUGGUCCCUAGGCACCAAGUCACGGCCCUCCAGGUACCCGUGAAGCUCCCCAUCCGUCUGCUCUCAGGGCAGAGGGAAGAUGGGCUCCUUGGGGGCCUUCGGAGCAGCCCCUCAUGUGGAAGCAUCUUCUCAGACUCCUCUCCUGGCCCCUGGGCUGCCGCUGAGAUGAGGCAGAGGCAAGGUCCAUCUCUGAGAGCCUCGCCAACAGCCCCGGCUCCCUGCAAAACCAACGGCCACACGGCGGGGCCUCUGCUGGAGAAGAAGCUUGGUUGUGAUACAGGACGUGACGCUGCUCUGUCUUCUACCCCCAAGACCCCCAAGGUCUUGCAAUAGACCUAGCUGGCUUGAGCUUCUCCCGGAUAAGUUAAUCCCCGCCACCAUCCCCUGCGAGGUGACCAGACUAAACAAUCUUGGCGGGAGAGACGGGAAAGCCAGCCUGCGGCCCCGGGACUGCCAGCAGACACACAGAGGGACCAGGCAGCUUGCCCCUGGGUGAAGCCCCAGCCCUCAGGGUGGCAGGCUUGUGGUGGCCAAGGGACAGCCCUGCUGCCAGAUAAUGCUGUUCUGCCUGACUUCCAGACUCAGCUUUCUCAGCAACAGGUGACUCUGGGCGGUGCUGCUGACUUUCCUGGCCCCUCCUUCCCUGCUGCCAUAUGGAGACGCAGCCCCUGAUGAGAGCAGGUGGCCGCCCCCGAGAGGAGCUGUUGCCCAGGGCCCUCCUGGGUCUUCACUGGCUGCCAUCCAGGUACCAUAGACCUGGAAGAGCUGUUGGAGACCAGCUACUCCAAGGGUCCCAUUUCACAGAGCAGCAAACUGAGGCCAAGAGAGGAAAGGGAUUGGCCUGAGGUAUCUCUAGCCAGGAAACAACUUCCUUUCAUCUCUCUCUUUUGUAAUUUUUAAAUUUAAUUUAAUUUUUUAUUUUUUUGCUUUUUUAGGGCCAUGCCUGCGGCAUAUGGAUGUUCCCAGGCUAGGGGUGUGGCCCUAAAAAGAAAGAAAAUAAAUGAGUAAAUAAACAGAGAAAUCAUUUACCCCAUUAAAAAAAAAAUCAUUGACGUCUAGUUGAUUUACAGCGCUGUGUUGAUUUCUGCUGUGCAGCCAAGUGAUCCGGUGAUGUGCCUGAUCACAGGAUACUGAAUAUAGUUGCCCAUGCUCUCCAGGAGGAGCUUGCUGUUUAUGCAGCCUCUCGAGCGCUGAUGAUGCUUUAACCCAGUUUUCAGAGUUGUGAGCAGUUCCCUCCACCCCAUCUUGUAACACGGUUGUCAGAAGCCAGCCCCCCAAAGGCGCUCUAACGAGUGAAGCUUUUUACUUCUUUGCUAAAGGGCGAAGCAAGAGGGGCAAGGGAACCGGACCGCUCCAGUGGAUGGCAUGGGACACAGUCACCCGCACCCUUGCAGACGGUGCCUGAGAGAGAAGAGCAGUCUGGGCAGAGGUGGGAUCCCAGCCAGCCACGCCCUGGCCCUGGAGAGAGACUCGGCUGGACCCGCGGUGGCAGGAACCCGGUGUCGGUGGUCAGGGAAGCAGGGAGCAAGGAGCAAGUUGAAGGAUCGGGUCCCAGGCCAGGUCUCGGCCUCCCCGCCUGCCCCAUCUCCCACCAGAAGCCUCCGCUGUUGCUUAGCGCCCCAAACCUCUGCCCGCUGGGAACCGGUUUCCUGAGUGGCAGGUGGCUGCUCUGUCCCAGGCCCCCAUGUGACAACGCGUGGGCAGGUGACACAGGGGGGCCAGUGCGGGGAGCAGCCUGUAUGUGGAGCUGAAGAGGCCUCAGCCUAAGGGCUGGGCAAGGCUGGGGCCCAGGAGCCUGGCAGUGCUUGGUGAGGCUCUAGAAAAUCCUGAGGAU